ACUACGGGAGGCAGCAGUGAGGAAUAUUGGUCAAUGGGCGCGAGCCUGAACCAGCCAAGUAGCGUGAAGGAUGACUGCCCUACGGGUUGUAAACUUCUUUUAUAAAGGAAUAAAGUGAGGCACGGGUGCCUUUUUGUAUGUACUUUAUGAAUAAGGAUCGGCUAACUCCGUGCCAACAGCCGCGGUAAUACUGAGGAUCCGAGCGUUAUCCGGCUUUAUUUGGUUUAAAGGGUGAGUAGAUGGGUUGUUAAGUGAGUUGUGAAAGUUUGCGGCUCAACCGGAAAAUUGCAAUUGAUAAUGGCAGUCUGGAGUACAGUUGCGGUAGGCGGAAUUCGUGGUGUAGCGGUGAAAUGCUUAGAUAUC
rnacentral:rRNA from 1 species